UCAGGGUUCCUGGAUGAGAAAGGAGGAUAGUCACUUGUGCCCUUAUGAAAUAUGCUAUCAGCAUUCUGCACAUGGGCUGCACCUCCUGAGGUGACAGAGAGAACCCCUAUAAAAGGCAGGCAAAGUAGAUGAUACCUGUCUUCAGGGUGCUCUGCUGUUGUGUCUGAAUCAGCUCCUUCAGCUCCUGUCACCAUGUCUGGUCAGCAGAGUCAGCAGCAGUGCCAUCCCCCUCCCAAAUGUCCACCUAAGUGCCCUCCAAAGUGCCCGACUCCCAGUCCGUCGCCCCUCUCCUGCUGCAGCUCUGGGGGUGGGGGCUGCUGCACCUCUGGGGGUGGGGGCUGCUGCUGCUCUGGGGGUAGGGGCUGCUGUCUGAGCCACCAUAGGCCCCGAAGGUCUCUUUGGCACCGACACCAGAGCUCCAGCUGCUGUGGCAGUGGUGCUGGUGGCCACCAUUCUGGAGGUUCCAGCUGCUGCUCUGGGGGGCUCUAGUGGCAGCUCUGGGGGCUCCAGCUGCUGUGGCAGUGGUGGUGGUGGCCACCAUUCUGGAGGUUCCAGCUGCUGCUAUGGGGGCUCUAGUUGCUGCUCCGGGGACUCCAGCUGCUGCUCUAGUGGUUCCAGUGGCAGCUCUGGGGGAUCCAGCUGCUGCUCUGGGGGCUCCAGUAAGUAGGAGCUCUGCAGGCUCCAGCUGCUGUUCUGACUGCUGAUCUUCAUCAUGAGGAGGGAGGGACCUGCUGAAGCCCUGUCAGCCCCAGACUGCCCCUAUGGGAGGACUUCUGAAAUGCAUGAAGUCUCUUCUUCCUGCCUACAAUUGCCCUACUGUGAAGGUUUAACCCCAGAUGUUUUCCAUUCUGAUUCUCCGUCUAGGGUCUAGGUAGAGAGCUCUUUAGUGGCCUAGGUGUUGGAGUUCCCUUCUGAAGUUGUCUUCUCUGUAACAAUAAAGCUUUUGAUUCUGGA